UUUUUUGAGAGUUUGAUCCUGGCUCAGGAUGAACGCUGGCGGCGUGUCUAAGGCAUGCAAGUCGAACGAACCUUUAGAGCUUGCUUUGAAGGUGAGUGGCAAACGGGAGAGUAACACAUUGGUAACCUACCCCAAAGACAGGAAUAACACCGAGAAAUUGGUGCUAAUACCUGAUGUGCUGCGUCAACAUAAGUUGAUUCAGUAAAACUACGGUGCUUUGGGAGGGGCCUAUGGUCUAUCAGCUUGUUGGUGAGGUAAUGGCUCACCAAGGCUACGACGGAUAGCGGGUGUGAGAGCAUGACCCGUCUCACUGGGACUGAGACACUGCCCAGACUCUUACGGGAGGCUGCAGUCAAGAAUAUUCCUCAAUGCACGAAAGUGUGAAGGAGCGACGCCGCGUGAUUGAUGAAGCCCUUCGGGGUGUAAAAAUCUUUUAUUAGGGACGAACAAAUGACGGUACCUAAUGAAUAAGGGGUUGCUAAACUCGUGCCAGCAGCAGCGGUAAUACGAGUACCCCGAGCGUUAUCCGGAUUUAUUGGGCGUAAAGAGUACGUAGGCGGUUUUUCAAGUCAGAAGUCAAAUCUCUGGG
rnacentral:rRNA from 1 species